CUGACUGCAGUUUCCUUAACUUUCCAUUUAAUUUUUUUCCCCCCUUGAAACUAAAAUCAUUUAAUGAAAUCGGACACUUCAAGGCCACUGACUGAUCUUCUGAGCAGGAGUUCAGGGCCGCUAGUAGAAGAUUGAUACAUUUAUUAAUUCUCCAUGCAGAAAGACAAACAGUGGACUCGGUCCAGUGGGAUGGAAACGUCUGGCCCCAGGUGUCCCUACGGAAUCUUCCAAAGUUGCCUAAUGGUCUUUGACCACACAGAUCCAGUUAAGGAAUACGGUAUGUUCACCACCAACGCCAUCACCACCUACCUGCUGUGUCCACUAGGCGGCCACACGGACCCCUACCUGAUCCUUAGAACCUGUGGUCUUUUCACAGGACAUUCAAAUGCUAUUUCUACCGGUGCUUUCCUCCGACCAGAGAGCUCUUUCCCCAGACGUCACAGCCAUCAUCGCUCACAUUCUUCAAGUCCAUGUGUUAAAGUCAUGUUGUGGAAGUAAGACCUUCAUAACCACCUCAUUUAAAGCUACAAACCCGUUUCCCUCCUUCUUGUGUGUUUUGCUGCACGUCAGUUACUGUGUUGCAACCUGCUCUGUAACUGGGUUGUUUUAUUUAUUUUCUGCCUCUCCCCACUGGAAUGGAAGGUGCGCGCGGGCAGGAUUUUGUCUUUAUUGCACAAAGACGUGUUUCCAGUGCCUAGAGGUGUGCUUGGUACAGAGGUAGUUCAUUAAGUACUUGUUGAUUAAUGAAUAAAACAUCAUCAACCUUCUCUAGAAACAUCAUACAUUUGGGUACAUAAGCUGGGUGCUAUAGUCUUCAUAUGAGU